rnacentral:lncRNA from 1 species
CAAUAGCAAACAUUGUUCUAAAUAGCAAAACUCUGAAAUCAUUUCAUUGAAAUCAGAAAUUAGAAAAGGAUGUCCAUGUGCUAUUAUUAUGUUACAUUGUCAAAGUAAGGUAAGAAAAUAAUUGCCAUAAACUUUGAAGAAGACGAAAUAAAACUAUUUAUGUUUGUCUAUGUGACUUCAUUGUUUGCCUAGAAAACUCGAGGGACUUUAGUAAUAAACUAUUUGAAUUGUAGGUCAUUUUGGAAAAGUGGGCAGAUGCAAGAUAAAUAUACAAAAAGCACCAACUUCUCUCCGUAUUAGCACUCCCCACCGCAGCUGCCCCCACCCUUCCCUUCGAUG